GUAAGGAAUAUUGGUCAAUGGGCGGAAGCCUGAACCAGCCAUGCCGCGUGCAGGACGACGGCCCUACGGGUUGUAAACUGCUUUUGCCCGGGAAUAACCCCCCGCUCUUGAGCGGGGCUGAACGUACCGGGAGAAUAAGGAUCGGCUAACUCCGUGCCAGCAGCCGCGGUAAUACGGAGGAUCCGAGCGUUAUCCGGAUUUAUUGGGUUUAAAGGGUGCGUAGGCGGCCUGUUAAGUCAGGGGUGAAAUACGGCAGCUCAACUGUCGCAGUGCCCUUGAUACUGACGGGCUUGAAUACCGGUGAAGGCGGCGGAAUGAGACAAGUAGCGGUGAAAUGCAUAGAUAUGUCUCAGAACCCCGAUUGCGAAGGCAGCUGCCUAACCGGCGAUUGACGCUGAUGCACGAAAGCGUGGGGAUCGAACAGGAUUAGAAACCCCGGUAGUCC
rnacentral:rRNA from 1 species